CAAAGCUGUAUUCUUUGCUCUAUUUGUUCCAUUCUUGUUUAUAUACCUUUCCCCACUUGAUUUCUUCAAUCUAUAAACUUAAUCCCAGAGAGCAAAAAAAACCAAACCCAAUUGAACUUUCAAGCUCACAACCUUUCUAAUUAUGUCAUUGAGCCCUCCUCGUGUCCGAAACAAUGGCAACCCAACAACCUACCCUCUCUACUGGUGCUACCAAUGCCACAGAACGGUCAGGGUUGCUUCCACGAACCCAUCAGAGGUUAUUUGUCCACGUUGUUUGGGGCAGUUCCUCAUUGAGAUGAACGUAGCUAGGCCUAGACUAGUCAUCGAUCACACUGAUUUUGAUCCCUCCCCGGAAGCCCGUCUACUCGAGGCCCUUGCUCUCAUGCUUGAUCCCCCAAUUAGGCGCUUCCACCAUGGUUUACAUGACCCGGAAGCUGAAUCCCAAGGCCAUCCUUUGCCUCCUCCCCCAGGUUUUGAAACAAGACCCCGGACACGUUCAAGACGGCGAUGGAGAGAGAGCCCGGAUACAGAACCUGAAAUCCAAGGCCAACCUCGGACAUGGAUUAUUCUUAGACCUUUAGAUCCUGCUGACCCUUUUAGACCAAUACUUCAACCACAACCAGCACCUUCAGGAUUUGAUCAUAGAAAUUUCUUUUUCGGGCCAGGACUAAACGAAAUGAUUGAGCAGCUGACUGAAAAUGAUAGGCCAGGGCCUUCUCCAGCACCAGAAGAAGCAAUCAAUGCAAUACCAACUGUGAGCAUCACAGAAGAGCAUUUGAAAAAUGACUCACAAUAUUGCCCUGUGUGCAAGGAAGAGUUUAAGGUUGGAGGAGAAGCUAGGGAAAUGCCUUGCAAGCAUAUAUAUCACUCUGAUUGUAUUGUUCCUUGGCUAAGGCUUCAUAACUCUUGUCCUGUUUGCCGGCAUGAGCUGCCAGUGCCUUCUGAUUCUGAAGAUCAGCAGCAGGUAAGAGUAAGAGUAGAGAAUGAUUCUGAGGAUUCUCAAGUUGGAGGACAGAGUAGGAGACGUAGGAGUUUGAGGUGGAGCCAUUUGACAUCUUUGUGGCCAUUUCGACCAAGAUAUCGACAGAUUAAUCCACAUGCUGAUCAUGACAUUAAUAUUGGUACUUCUCGAAGGGUCAACUCAUGUUGGGAUUCUUGCCAUAUUCUUUAGCCCAAAAUGUUGCUGCUUAUGCUGGAAGCAAUUGAUAUGGACUUUGUGGUUAAACUGUUUUUACUAGGAAUGAGCAAGCCGGUUUCGGUAGAUUAUAAAACCUUUCAACAUUCUGAAACAUUGAAUAUCACAGCUGUUAUAUAUAGCUUGCUCAUAAUUCAUACACCAUGACAGCCGAAUAAUGGAUGGGAGGAAAUCUGAGACAUGUCGCCCGAACAUGCUACUUCUAUUGCUUUGUGUUUAUUAUUUGUCAUGAUAAUGCCACUGCAGUAAAAUCUGCAUAUACAGGGGGCAUUGUCCGCAAUACUACGUCUUUACCAAGUAAAUGAAAAAAAUAUAUAUACACUUAAACGUGUGACAGUGUUUUUAUGUACAUGAAUUUACGUAAGUUGCGUUAAUGUGAUACUUCGAAAAAAAGUGCCAUUCUCAUAUGCAAGGACUCAUCUGAUGACAAAGACAAUAGGGCUGCCUAAGCCAUUGGAUUGCAUCCACGAAAUCAGUCAUUCUAUCUUUUCUUUUCUAGUUCUUUAAUCAAAUGAUAACCCACAGAUGCCACAUUCAUGAAGAGAUGAACUCUACCUAUCCCGUUCAAAUAAAGGAGAAAAAUAUCAUUAGUCCUCAUCAUAUCUUAGAAAGCUUGCCCCUAUUUAUUCCCCAUUUAAAUGAAAUGCUGACCAAGAAUUCCGUCAGAGUUGUUACUUGUUAUGCAAAAAUGCAUCAGAAUUUUAAGUGUAGAAUCCCAGAAAAGGCACUAUUCUUCCAGCUACCAUCGCUGGGAAGACAAAGACAACCAUGAAUCUGUGAUCCAUUAGUCUGUUUUCAUGAUGAUGGAUCACUGAUGCAUGGUUCUGAUGCAAAUUGUUACUGUGAAAACCGAUCAACAAAUACCCAAAAAAAAAAAAA